rnacentral:tRNA from 1 species
AUUUAAAUAGUUUAAUAAAAAUUUUAAUUUGUGAUAUUAAAGAUAAAACUUAGUUUUUUUAAGUA